rnacentral:rRNA from 1 species
GGCGGACGGGUGAGUAACGCGUGAGAAUCUACCAAAAGGACUGGGACAACCACUGGAAACGGUGGCUAAUACCGGAUGAGCCGAAAAGUAAAAAGGGAAACCUGCCUUUUGAAGAGCUCGCGUCUGAUUAGCUAGUUGGUGGGGUAAGAGCUCACCAAGGCAGCGAUCAGUAGCUGGUCUGAGAGGACGACCAGCCACACUGGGACUGAGACACGGCCCAGACUCCUACGGGAGGCAGCAGUGGGGAAUUUUCCGCAAUGGGCGAAAGCCUGACGGAGCAAGACCGCGUGAGGGAAGAAGGCUCUUGGGUCGUAAACCUCUUUUAUCAGGGAAGAAAAAAAUGACGGUACCUGAAGAAUCAGCCUCGGCUAACUCCGUGCCAGCAGCCGCGGUAAUACGGAGGAGGCAAGCGUUAUCCGGAAUUAUUGGGCGUAAAGCGUCGGCAGGUGGCUUAUCAAGUCUGCUGUCAAAGAGUGGGGCUUAACCCCAUAAAGGCAGUGGAAACUGAGAAGCUAGAGUGCCGUAGGGGUAGAGGGAAUUCCCGGUGUAGCGGUGAAAUGCGUAGAGAUCGGGAAGAACAUCGGUGGCGAAAGCGCUCUACUGGACGGCAACUGACACUCAGGGACGAAAGCUAGGGGAGCGAAUGGGAUUAGAUAC